rnacentral:rRNA from 1 species
AUUCCGGUUGAUCCUGCCGGGGGCCAUUGCUAUCGGAGUCCGACUUAGCCAUGCUAGUCGCACGGGUUCAGACCCGUGGCAAAUAGCUCAGUAACACGUGGCCAAACUACCCUCUGGACGGGAAUAACCUCGGGAAACUGAGGCCAAUUCCUGAUACGGCUCACACCCUGGGGUGGGGUGAGCCGGAAACGUUCCGGCGCCAGAGGAUGUGGCUGCGGCCGAUUAGGUAGACGGUGGGGUAACGGCCCACCGUGCCGAUAAUCGGUACAGGUUGUGAGAGCAAGAGCCUGGAGACGGAAUCUGAGACAAGAUUCCGGGCCCUACGGGGCGCAGCAGGCGCGAAACCUUUACACUGCACGACAGUGCGAUAGGGGGACUCCGAGUGCGAGGACAUACAACGUCCUCGCUUUUCUGUACCGUAAGGUGGUACAGGAACAAGUGCUGGGCAAGACCGGUGCCAGCCGCCGCGGUAAUACCGGCAGCACGAGUGAUGGCCGAUUUUAUUGGGCCUAAAGCGUCCGUAGCCGGCCGAGCAAGUCCGUUGGGAAAUCCACGCGCUCAACGCGUGGGCGUCCAGCGGAAACUGUUCGGCUUGGGGCCAGAGGACUCGAGGGGUACGUCCGGGGUAGGAGUGAAAUCCCGUAAUCCUGGACGGACCACCGGUGGCGAAAGCGCCUCGAGAAGAUGGACCCGACGAUGAGGGACGAAAGCUUGGGUCUCGAACCGGAUUAGAUACCCGGGUAGUCCAAGCUGUAAACGAUGCUCGCUAGGUGUGCCGCAGGCUACGAGCCUGCGCUGUGCCGUAGGGAAGCCGAGAAGCGAGCCGCCUGGGAAGUACGUCCGCAAGGAUGAAACUUAAAGGAAUUGGCGGGGGAGCACUACAACCGGAGGAGCCUGCGGUUUAAUUGGACUCAACGCCGGACAUCUCACCAGCACCGACAAUGUGCAGUGAAGAUCAGGUUGAUGACCUUAUUGGAGCCAUUGAGAGGAGGUGCAUGGCCGCCGUCAGCUCGUACCGUGAGGCAUCCUGUUAAGUCAGGCAACGAGCGAGACCCGCGUCCGUAAUUGCCAGCAGCAUCCUUGUGAUGGCUGGGUACAUUACGGAGACCGCCACGGCUAACGUGGAGGAAGGAACGGGCAACGGUAGGUCAGCAUGCCCCGAAUGUGCUGGGCAACACGCGGGCUACAAUGGCCUGGACAGUGGGUUACAACACCGAGAGGUGACGUUAAUCCCCUAAACCGGGUCGUAGUUCGGAUUGAGGGCUGAAACUCGCCCUCAUGAAGCUGGAUUCGGUAGUAAUCGCGUGUCAGAAGCGCGCGGUGAAUACGUCCCUGCUCCUUGCACACACCGCCCGUCAAAUCACCCGAGUGGGGUCCGGAUGAGGCUCGGAUACCCGAGUCGAAUCUGGGCUCCGCAAGGGGGAUUAAGUCGUAACAAGGUAGCCGUAGAGGAAUCUGCGGCUGGAUCACCUCCU